GAUGAACGCUGGCGGCGUGCCUAAUACAUGCAAGUCGAACGCAUUGAGAGAAGUGCUUGCACUUUUCAAUUUGAGUGGCGAACGGGUGAGUAACACGUGGGCAACCUACCUGAUAGCGGGGGAUAACGAGUGGAAACAUUCGCUAAUACCGCAUAACAAUAGAGAAGGCAUCUUCUUAAUGUCAAUGGCGCUUUCAAGCGCCAAUAUCAGAUGGGCACGGGGUGAAUUAGUUAGUUGGCGGGGUGAAGGCCGACCAAGACGGUGAUGCAUAUGCGAGUUGAGAGACUGAUCGGCCACAUUGGGACUGAGACACGGCCCAAACUCCUACGGGAGGCUGCAGUAGGGAAUCUUCCACAAUGGACGAAAGUCUGAUGGAGCAACGCCGCGUGUGUGAUGAAGGCUUUCGGGUCGUAAAGCACUGUUGUAUGGGAAGAAAUGCUAGGCUAGGAAAUGAGCUUAGUUUGACGGUACCAUACCAGAAAGGGACGGCUAAAUACGUGCCAGCCGCCGCCGUAA
rnacentral:rRNA from 1 species